rnacentral:sRNA from 1 species
AAAAACUGAAAUGAAGAAACCGAAGAAGAAAAAGAGAAAGAGAUGGAGAUAUUUGAGAGAGAAGUAGAAAGAAGCUCAAAAUUCAUUAUCCACUUCUUCAUAUUUCAACAUCUCUCCAUUGAACUCCAAAAUUGAGGAACAAAUUUCUUGUUUUCGAGAUGAACAAAAUGCAAAAAAAAACUCAUAGAUUCAAACUAAAGAUACUCUAAGUUUACAAGAUUUAUUUAUAAAUAGUAACCAAAACGUAAGAAAAAUGAGAUUUUGAGAAAACUGCUAAAGACGGCCGCAAAAUUAGGUUUGCAGAAAAGGAUACACAGGUUGAAGAUGACUGGAAAAUUACAAUUAUAUCCUCCAUCGAAUUUCUUCUGUGUACGUAUAUUCAAUUUACAGUGUACGUACACGAAAUUAUUUAUUGAAACGUAUAUGGUACGAUUUCUAAUAACUCAAGCUAUUUUAUUACGUAUUCUUAUAUCUCAAUAAUCUCCAUACAUACAUAAUAAUUAAUUAAAAAUAGAUGGUG